GCCAAAUAGAACCUAAAUGUUAUCAAAAUACUAAUUUAAAUCUCGCCACUGCCUGGACUUCCGUUUCUUCCCCUCCCCCAAUGUUGGUGCAGAGACUGAACAUGGAAAAGGGUAGAAAUUUAAGAAAGGGUCUGCGGAGUUUCAGAGCCAAGGAAAUAAUGAGACGAUUUCCCAAAAAGUGUAAGUGAAGAUUAGACCCAGGAAAAGAUGCUGCCCCUUCCUGGAAUUACAGAAACACAAAUUCGAACACCAGAAAGACAGGGCCACUUCUGGUUUCUGGUAUUGUUACAGAGGAAAAAAGUGACAGGGCCCCACUGUGGGGGUUGAAGGGGAGACACAGGGCAGGCUGGCGCCUGCCGCACUGCUUGUGGGAGUGGAAAUUGGGGGCCAGAGCGCACUAGUGACGUGGCCGUCACGUGACCAAGAGCCGCCUAGAGCUCAAGUCCUGCUAGUCGUCUCCGUCUGGGUACCAGCCCCCUAUUACUCUGCAGGCGUGUGGAGAAAGAAGGAAACUAGCUCGGACUGUGCAGGUUUGUAGGUCUGCUGGCCUGCAAGGCUCGGCGCAAGUCUCGGCGAGAGAAGGAGAAAACUGCCUUGGUUGGAACCUUUCAGUUCAGUGUGAAGACUCUGUCUAUCACUGUGGAAGGACCACUGACAACAGAAGACAAGGGAAAACGAAGGAAUUUACCAGACUUUGGUAGAGAUUCAUCACAAGAGAGCUGCAGGAGCCUGGAAGAAGCUGAAGACUGCUACCCUCCAUCGUUACUCAUCCUGGACCUAAGAGACCUCUUCAAUCAGAAAUGGAAACAGAGAGAUUCUCCUGGAAACCCCUGCCCCAUAAAGGGCCCUCUCGAACACAAUGGGACCGAUUCCACUCAAAACGCGCUUGGUUUGCAGAUGUCAAAGAAUCUGCAGAGGGUGUCACUGAAGAUCCAGCCUUAGCCAAUCACCGCCUCAUUGGGUGAAAGUUCCAGCGCUCAAUCCAGGACCACGCUCUUAUUGGCCAGGCAGGGGCUCCCACAGAGCUUUGAGUAACUUCUUGGUUGUGCAGGCUGCAGGCAAUGUUGGCAUUGUAAAUUCCUCCCUGGCAGCCUCCUUCACGAGGUGAGGGGAUCACUUCGGCUGCCUGCUGUGGACAAAGAACAUCAAAUUACAGCAUCACGAGUGCUAUUGUUGCCUGUGGUGGUCUCCCUGCCCAAGCGGGACCGCUUUGCAGAGACCAGACGCGUAUCGCAGCUUGAGCCGAAAAUGCAUUUGUUGCAGCUUAGGUUGAAUUAUUUUUCGUUUACCCUUUCUUCUACACGCGCCUGAUGGAUGGUGAACCUAUUCAUCAAAAAAGUGUACUGCUCUUCUGUCUAUUGUACUGACUUAACCUCUUCCACCCAAGCCGGCAUCUGUGUGUAUCAUCAAUAAACUUGUGUGCUUUGAUUGGCA
rnacentral:lncRNA from 13 species